rnacentral:rRNA from 1 species
AUUGGAGAUGAUUCAAUCUCAUCUGAUCUCAGAACAUAACCAGAGCCAGGGCUGGUUAGUACUUGGAUUGGAGACUGCUGGGAAUAUCAGAUGCUCCAGUG